AACGAACGCUGGCGGCAUGCCUAACACAUGCCAGUCGAACGAGACCUUCGGGUCUAGUGGCGCACGGGUGCGUAACGCGUGGGAACCUGCCCUUAGGUUCGGAAUAACUCCCCGAAAGGGGUGCUAAUACCGGAUAAUGUCUUCGGACCAAAGAUUUAUCGCCUUUGGAUGGGCCCGCGUUGGAUUAGCUAGUUGGUAGGGUAAAAGCCUACCAAGGCGCCGAUCCAUAGCUGGUCUGAGAGGAUGAUCAGCCACACUGGGACUGAGACACGGCCCAGACUCCUACGGGAGGCAGCAGUGGGGAAUAUUGGACAAGGGGCGAAAGCCUGAUCCAGCAAUGCCGCGUGAGUGAUGAAGGCCUUAGGGUUGUAAAGCUCUUUUACCCGGGAUGAUAAUGACAGUACCGGGAGAAUAAGCUCCGGCUAACUCCGUG
rnacentral:rRNA from 1 species